GACGAACGCUGGCGGCGGGCUUAACACAUGCAAGUCGAACGGAAAGGCCCGGCUUUUGUGGGGUGCUCGAGUGGCGAACGGGUGAGUAACACGUGAGUAACCUGCCCUUGACUUUGGGAUAACUUCAGGAAACUGGGGCUAAGACCGGAUAGGAGCGCCUGCUGCAUGGUGGGGGUUGGAAAGUUUCGGCGGUUGGGGAUGGACUCGCGGGUUGUCAGCCUGUUGGUGGGGUAGUGGCUUACCAAGGCUUUGACGGGUAGCCGGCCGGAGAGGGUGACCGGGAAACUUGGGACUGAGAUACGGGCCAGACUACUAAGGGAGGCAGGAGAGGGGAAUAUUGCAUAAUGGGCGGAAGCCUGAUGCAGCAACGCCGCGUGCGGGAUGACGGCCUUCUGGUUGUAAACCGUUUUCGCCUGUGACGAAGCGUGAGUGAAGGUAAUGGGUAAAGAAGCACCGGCUAACUACGUG
rnacentral:rRNA from 1 species